rnacentral:lncRNA from 1 species
UUUUGCAGGAUUCAGGAAACUGAAGUCCAGCCUCCUCACACCCUGCUUUAGUGAUAAGGGGAUAAGACGGUACGUUUAGAUAUUUAAGAUACUUACAUGACUUCAUAAGCUUCUUAAUUCCUUCAACAAUGAUCUUUGGACAGUUACUGACCUUCAAAAUCUUCAUCCGAUCCCCAACAUAAAGUUUUCACUUCCUAAUUGUUGAAAUGCAACAUCAGUUA